rnacentral:tRNA from 1 species
GUAGCUAUAGCUCAGUUGGUUAGAGCAUCAGAUUGUGAUUCUGAGGGUCGUGGGUUCGAGCCCCAUUAGUUACC